rnacentral:rRNA from 1 species
CAACCCCUGACCUGCAUCCGAUACGGUCGAGCUAGAGUUUGGUAGGGGAGACUGGAAUUCCUGGUGUAGCGGUGGAAUGCGCAGAUAUCAGGAGGAACACCAAUGGCGAAGGCAGGACUCUGGGCCAUUACUGACACUGAGGAGCGAAAGCGUGGGGAGCGAACAGGAUUAGAUACCCUGGUAGUCCACGCCGUAAACGGUGGGCACUAGUUGUGGGGACCUUCCACGGUCUCUGCGACGCAGCUAACGCAUUAAGUGCCCCGCCUGGGGAGUACGAUCGCAAGAUUAAAACUCAAAGGAAUUGACGGGGCCCCGCACAAGCAGCGGAGCAUGCGGCUUAAUUCGACGCAACGCGAAGAACCUUACCAAGGCUUGACAUAUACAGGAAUAUGGCAGAGAUGUCAUAGCCGCAAGGUCUGUAUACAGGUGGUGCAUGGUUGUCGUCAGCUCGUGUCGUGAGAUGUUGGGUUAAGUCCCGCAACGAGCGCAACCCUCGUUCUGUGUUGCCAGCAUUUAGUUGGGGACUCACAGGAGACUGCCGGGGUUAACUCGGAGGAAGGUGGGGAUGACGUCAAAUCAUCAUGCCCCUUAUGUCUUGGGCUGCACGCAUGCUACAAUGGCUGGUACAAACGGCUGCGAUACCGCAAGGUGGAGCGAAUCCGAUAAAGCCAGUCUCAGUUCGGAUUGGGGUCUGCAACUCGACCCCAUG